UGGACCGGCAUAUUUGCUAUCUUCUCAAGAUGACAAUUGGAACAUAUGGAUAUAUCGAUAGUGAUGCUUCCGAUAGCAACGCUUGUGUUCAAACUAUAGAACUAAGAAGAUGGUGUCUGAUCCGAUCAAACUUGCGACAAUAUUUUUGUCCACGUGGCAACAUGCCAACAAUGAUGAACCAAUCUGUCAUCGAUCGAUAGGUUUGCUUGAUGGCGAGGCAAAAGUACUUGGGACGAUCGCGGUUCCUCUGCGAAGCGAUCGGAUCUCUUCGGACGACUCCCGGAAGCUCUCCUCCGCCGACGAAGCCCCUCAACCCGGAGGAGAAUGAGACCCCGAAGUGGGACUCCGCUAGAGGGACCGUGAUCUGAGGUGGAAUUAGGCAAAGGAAGCUCUUGGAAUUUGUGGAUGAACUACAUAUCAAUGCUAACCGUGGAAUUGCUUAUUGCUCAUUUGGUGUCGACAGGAAUUUGGUUCCAAGGAUUUAUCUCAUGGUCUUUACUUUUUGGCAUAAUUCGACGAUCGAGGUGUACUAUCAAAUGCCUUGUUGUUAAGAUUAGCAUGGAUGGAGAGCCAUACCUAAGAAAAGUUAUCUAAAAACUGUUCCAGCAUUAAGGAGCAUUCUUCGUCACCCGAGAAGAUGUUUACCUGAUUUACUAUGGGUGAGCUAUGUCAUUUUCCAAUGCAUUGAAACAACUUUUUCGGUCUUCUCUAUUGCUUGCAAAUAAUUACAUGACUUGGUAGCUUCAAUUCUAUGUUUGCUUUAAAGAAUUUGAGAUCAGUGGUACAUGCUAUAUAACUGGUAUGUGCUCCAGAGUUGUGAAGCCUUAGAAACUGAUCUCUUGGAAAGUAGAAGGGAAAUAUUAGCAAUUUUAAUUAAAGUGCUAUAGCGGGCGCUUUAUGGUAAGUCAUGAUUACAAGUGCCUAAUACUGUUGCAGAUAUCGUUACUGUGUUCGUUAUUUUGUUAUACCAAAGUUAGUUAAGGUGCUUUUCACAUAACUUUGUUUCUUUGUUUCUGUUCUAGUGGGUUUUAUGGGAUACUUUAAUGUAUUGAUGUUGAGCUGACUGAAUAGUUUGGGUAUUUUUCUUCUUUUGGAGCCUUGCCGUCAUAUACAACUGCUUAUAUAUGUAGUUUUGCAAAAGAGAUGGACAAUCUUUUCAUUAUGUUUCUCUUUACAUUUAAUUCUGUUGAUGGCAAACCUAAAUAAGUUCUCAUUGUUAUCAGAUCCAUAUUGUGUCUACUCAAGUAAUAUUGUAUAUUCUUGAUUUUAGGUGUCCGUUGUCAAAUAUUAAGCUAUUCUGACCCACGUAUUAUUUUACCAUGUCAUGCCCCCAGUGGCAAUUAGUUCUUGGAAUAGUAUUUUCUAUCAGCAUGUGAUGUGCCAAUGCAUGCACAACGACAUAAGCAUGCAUAGUAAAAGGAAAAAGAAAAUCAUAACAGACAGAAAGAAAAGACAAAGUAACCUUUUAUAGUCUAUUGUACAACAUGCCUUCCAGCACAAUCAGAGAUUCAGAAUGUAAACUUGUGCACUUAUAUAGAUGCACGGGAAUUCAUGGUAUAAUCAUGAGUGCCAAAGUUCUUACCUCACAAGAGUUCCCAGUUGAAUGAUGCAUUACCAUCUAAGCUUCUUGGAUUAUUGUUGUACGACGAGAGCUUUGCUUGUGCCUGUAUUUCUUGCUGUCUGGCCAAUGAAUUUCAGAUGGAACAACAUACAGACUACAGAGAAUGGCAAAGCUAGGGUUGGAUGAUGGAUCUUUAUCAAGGGUCUGAGUAUGUACUUAUGAAGACAAGAGAUGGGUAUUGGAUGCUCAUCAUCAAUAUACCUUCAGAAAUGUUUAGUAAUCGUUUCAGAAGGCUGAGGAUCAUGAAGAUUUCAGAUCUGGAAUUUGGUAUGUUUUAAUAUGACUAGUGAUCCUUUUCACUUCAGCCUUGAUCCUCAGAUGAGUAAUUAACAAGCAUGUCAAUUAUAAUUCCAUCUCUCGGCUUAAGUAUGGUAUUUGUCCUUGGUACUGAUUAGUAGUGGGUCCUUUAUUCUCCUUUGUUGAUGCACGUUGUUAUCAUGAAUUUGUUUUUGAAAAAUAUAUGGUCAGGUAUUGAAAUCCAUCGUCUGAUACACACAAACUGCAGAUGAGUUCUCUCCUUUCAUGUACUUGAAGAAAGCAUAGUUUAACUUUUACCAAGAAUUGAGAACAAUCUAUGCUUUUAUAGUAUAUGCAUCACCAGUGAACUAAUUACUUUUCUGAUCUUGGAUAUAGUUGUAUCCUAGCUGCUUGAAUAUUAUAGAUUCAACUCAAAAUUAGCAUAACCCAUCAACUGGUCAUAGAUACUAUGAAAUAACAUUGAUCUCCAUGUUCUUAUGACCAUGUGCUAUAUAUAUUAAGAACUUUAGAUUCAUUGAAGCUUUUAUUUGCAUCUAUAGACAUAAAUUCAUUGAAGAAUUUUAGAUCUCUAGUCAAAAAACUACAGGGUGAUCUCUUGCAAUUUCUGCUAGUAUGAUCUUAUUUUCAUGCAUGAUUGAUCCCAUUCCCAGCACCAAGGGCCACGAUGAAGUGUCAGAGCUGGCUGGAACUAGCAACAUCUUGGAAGAUCAGCUUGGUGCAUUAUAACCUUAUGGCCGCAUGGUACUUCCUGAAAUAAAAAAGUGUUCUUUUGAGAUGGAUUUUAUCUAUAUGACACAUUCUAUUGCAUGUGGACUGAAAUUCUUGCAACAUAGUUCUUGUUCAAUGGCAUGGUGCUAUCAUUGGCCCUUUACCUGCAUCUUUCCGAUAGUAAACCUUUCAAUUGAGUCAGUCUCCAUCCUUUUUCCUUUUCAUAUAAGAAAGCAUCAAUUGCAAGGCAUACCUGACACGUGGUACAUCAAUGACAACUACCAGCUAUCUGAAACACCAAACUGUUGUAGAACAGACCUCAAGUUUGGGGCUGUCUAUUCAUCCAUCAUUAGUCUUCCUCAGAUGAAACAAAAUAGACUGGAUUAAACAUGUGAUAUGAUGUUGUGCUUGUCUUUGAUGUUCAUCUAUCCAGGGUUUCUUGAUGGUUUCCUCCAUAUGAUCUCUGAUAUUUACUGCUACCAUAACAUUUUGUGUGCCUAUCCAGCAUGGUGGCAACUUUUAAUAUCCUGUCCUUGAUCUAAUGUUCAAAUUAUAAUAUUAUAUUUGUCCAUGUGUAGUAAGUACCAUUGUUAAUUAUGAGCUAACAUGCAAUGUUUCCGAAACAGAGAAGUCAUGUCAAUAGCAUUAUACAGUGUGAAAGAUAAUAUACAGCAUGCAUUCAAAAUAUUGCAUUGUUCCCUUCUCCACUAGCGGUCAUCAUCUCAUUAUGUUGUUCUCCAUCAUUUUUAUAUGACUACAGCAUCUAUGUCUUCCUAAAAACUGCAACCAUGCUGAUCAGCAUGAGAUGUAUCGCAUGUGAGUAAUUUUAUUUAGUCAUUCUGAGGGGCUAAAUUUAUUUAUUUUUUACAAUGAAUUUUCUUUCUGAUCCAUUAACGAUGGCCUCUUUGGUGAGUUUGCUACUAGGAGAAAAGCUUCGGUGUUGUGAGACCAGCAAAUGUAGCGAACAAGAUGGACCCAUGUACGUGUUCUUUGGAUUCCUGCUCAGUGCACUCUGAUGAAAGCUUGGGCAAUUACCUAAAAGUGUCAGGCUUUUGGCUUGCUCUCUCCCAGUUCUUCAGUGAGUGUUUACCUUCCACGUCCAGGUUAAUAAAUUAUUGUGGCUGUCACAUCAUGCUGACAUGACCGUGAUGCAGCAUCGUAUGAGUAAUUAUUGGUCCAACAUUGCAUCAUUAUCAUUGAUUGUCACAUCAACAUGAUGUAUUUAUUUAUCACAUUGUUAUCAUCUGACUGUCACAUCAUUUGUUACUCCGAGAGGGCAGUUUUAUCUUUUGGCAUGUAUGAUCAACUUAAUUAGUUGCUUAAUUACAUUUAAUUAUGGUUCUAACAGCA